ACCUUUAAAAGCUUGCUUUUAAAGGUUAGCGGCGGACGGGUGAGUAACACGUGGGCAACCUACCUGUAAGACUGGGAUAACUUCGGGAAACCGGAGCUAAUACCGGAUAAUUCUUUUCUACACAUGUAGAAAAGCUGAAAGACGGUUUCGGCUGUCACUUACAGAUGGGCCCGCGGCGCAUUAGCUAGUUGGUGAGGUAAUGGCUCACCAAGGCAGGGAUGCGUAGCCGACCUGAGAGGGUGAUCGGCCACACUGGGACUGAGACACGGCCCAGAGUCCUACGGGAGGCAGCACUGGAUCUGCUAGAAAACUCGAG
rnacentral:sRNA from 1 species